rnacentral:rRNA from 1 species
ACGGAAGGCAGCAGUGAGGAAUAUUGGUCAAUGGACGAGAGUCUGAACCAGCCAAGUAGCGUGCAGGAUGACGGCCCUAUGGGUUGUAAACUGCUUUUGUACGGGAAUAAAGUGACCUACGUGUAGGUUUUUGCAUGUACCGUAAGAAUAAGGACCGGCUAAUUCCGUGCCAGCAGCCGCGGUAAUACGGAAGGUCCGGGCGUUAUCCGGAUUUAUUGGGUUUAAAGGGAGCGUAGGCCGUGCUUUAAGCGUGUUGUGAAAUGUAGGCGCCCAACGUCUGCACUGCAGCGCGAACUGGAGCACUUGAGUACGCAGGAAGUAGGCGGAAUUCGUCGUGUAGCGGUGAAAUGCUUAGAUAUGGCGAAGAACUCCGAUUGCGUAGGCAGCUGACCAGGCCGUAAAUGACGCUCAUGCACGAAAGUGCGGGGAUCGAACAGGAUUAGAUACCCUGGUA